rnacentral:rRNA from 1 species
ACUCAAAGGAAUUGACGGGGACCCGCACAAGCAGUGGAGUAUGUGGUUUAAUUCGAAGCAACGCGAAGAACCUUACCAGGGCUUGACAUAAUGAUGAAUACUCUAGAGAUAGGGUAGCUCUUCGGAGCGUUAUUACAGGUGGUGCAUGGUUGUCGUCAGCUCGUGUCGUGAGAUGUUGGGUUAAGUCCCGCAACGAGCGCAACCCCUGUUGUUAGUUGCCAGCAUUAAGUUGGGCACUCUAACGAGACUGCCGGUGACAAAUCGGAGGAAGGUGGGGACGACGUCAAAUCAUCAUGCCCCUUAUGUCCUGGGCUACACACGUACUACAAUGGCUAUAACAGAGGGAAGCGAAGCUGCAAAGUGGAGCAAAUCCCCAAAAAUAGUCCCAGUUCAGAUUGUGGGCUGAAACUCGCCCACAUGAAGUCGGAAUUGCUAGUAAUGGCAGGUCAGCAUACUGCCGUGAAUACGUUCCCGGGUCUUGUACACACCGCCCGU